rnacentral:misc_RNA from 1 species
CCUGAGUCGAUUGUUGGUUGUUCCGAGAAGUUUUUGGCCGUUCGCAACUCCGCCCCCUAAUCGGUGUUGGCCGCGCAUGGCACCGGUCGGGCUUGAAAAGACAAUCAAGCCUGUCGAUGACGAGGUACCCAGCGUAGGGUUUUUUUUUCGAUUUUUUUCNAAAAAAAACUUUACGAUAGGUAUUGAGUCAUCAACAUGCGUGGGGCGGUCGGUUUCGUUGCUUCGGAUCUUGCGUAUUUUCUAGAUGGACGUAAUUCGUUAAUCAUUCUUCGUUAGUGACCCGACUUAAUUGCCAUUUGCCAGCGUUUACGAGCGAUGUCGGUUGAGCUUUGCUCCGGCUUAGACUGCAAAAUAUACGUAUUGGGUAGCGUUACGGGCCAUGUUGGUCGAGCUUUGCUCGACCUAGACUGCCGGUAUAAAACGCAGGCAACCGUGGACGAGCGAUGUUGGUUGAGCUUUGCUCCGGCCUGACUGCUAGUUACACGGAUGUAUGUUACUCGGGGCAUGUUUAGCGAAUUCACUGAACUCGAUGUAAAUACACCAGCAAGAGAUGAUGCAACGUAGCUCACCGUUUGGUUUCCUGAUUUCGUAUCGUUCGGUGCAUUCUGGGGCUGUUUUGGCUUUUGGUUGCUUGCUUCGCUUUAGGCAAAGCGGGUGGCUACUAGUCGGGGUGGCUUCGGGGAUGUUCUCCGUAAAGGUGCAUGAGUGGUGUUUGGUUUGUUACGUGUGGUUGGCUGCGGCGCUUGCAACAACUUCCACGCUCUCAUACCUCUUCAGUAGUGCGGCAAGGCUUGUAUCGCCUUGAGCGUAAUGUGGGUUUUCUGUGUUUUAUACCUAAUCAACGGUAUCGGUUGGAUAGAUAAAAAGUUGCUUUUCGCCUUGCGUUGCAUUUGCGGCGUGAGGUGAACCUGAAUGCGUUCUCUUUGGUCCACCUUGUCGCAGCACAAGCUUCGGCAUUGUGGCACAUUGAGUAUUGCUUGGUUUCUUGUAUACGGAACAUAAAGUGGGCAUGGAUCUAACGAUUCUUGUUUGCCCUUGUUUGAGCGUUCUCGCUUCUUUAAAACGACU